CGGUAAAAAUAACCAACACCAAAUGUUGCUAUUUUAUUUAUUAAUUCCAAGACAAAGGAAAAACAGAAGUAGCUGUUAACAGUGAAUAUAAAUGGAGUUUAAUCUGCAUAGAGACACACAGACGUAAGAAUGGAAGUUCUUAAAUGUAAAUCAAAACAGUAAAAGGUUUGAUAAAAUACAGUAACUAAAAGGCCUUUAUCAGUUUUCUAUGGCAUAUAUUCGGUAUUUGUAAGAUUUUUAGCCGCACACAAAUAGAAAUAAACUGGAAGCUCUUACAUUGCAAAGAGAUUAUAUAACACGUGCUUAAGUAUUUCAGAAUAUAACAUACUGGGCUUGUUGCAUGGUGUAAUAGACAACUGUGGCUGAAACUCCCUUCCUGUUAACACAUGCAAUGAAAGUUCAGUCACUUUUUUUUCUUUACUUUUCAACGUUAGUCUGCCCUAUGGUGGCCAAAUUACAUUACUCAAAAAUGGGACUUGAAGCAAAAAUUAUGGUCAAGAUUUGUACUGACCAAAAAUAUGAAGUUGUUGAUCAAUCUUUAUUAUGCUACAGG